CUACCGCUGAGCGGCUAAUAGGGAGAAGGUGGGGUAGCUCCCUCCGAAAUACCGCGUCGGUUGUGACCAAAACCAUAUAGCUGAGGGGCGUGGCUACCCAUCCGAGCCGCCUAUGCGAAGCCCUAGGCGGGGCUGGUGACUGAAAGAACUACAAAUGAUAGAAACAAGAUCAUACCCAAUGAACACAGGGAACAGAAGGGUGAGAAUGGAAGCUGUAGGUGGAAGAAGAAAAACAGAGAAGAAAGAGCAAGAAAAAAUACAGACUUUUAAAUAGGUACUGACGAUCUUGAAGAACCUCCCUAAGAGGGCCAUCGAAUAAUGAGCAAGGGGAGGAGCAAGACUAACAUGGGAGGUGUUAAUAUCUACUCCAGAGGACCAGCUAUGAGAAGUAAGAGACCCACACAAACCAGGGAAGGAAAAAAAGAAAAAUUGUUAAGGAGAAAUGUUUGCAAGCUGACUUCCUGAAGAGGAACUUCCUCUCCCAUCACACCCCAAGAAGAAACCAAUCAAAGUCUCCACUAAACACUAGCACCCUGGCAGCUAUGUCAUUUUUACUUAAUUAAAAAAAAAAUCCCCUCAUGACUGGUCUACAUCUUACAGGCAUGACACAACCCAAAGGGCCAGGAUGUAACAAAGAUGCAGAAGGAGGAUACAUCCAUGAGGUUCACCAUACUUCGGCAUGACUCAGUACUGAACCCUUUAGUCCGGAGGUCUUUAUCUGGAAUUUAAAGCAAAGAGGGGGCAAAGUUAAGGCACGUAGCAGAGUUGUUUAUAAUGCACUGUGUGAAAAGCUAGCAUCCUCAUUACAAACACGUGAGCUUUUUUGUGUUCUUUUCAGAUUUCAUGUAAGAAUGCAACCUUAAAGCAGGAGUGAGGCAAUAACUAUUUUCAUUUCCAUCCUCUGCUAGUAGAUAAUGAGACUGCUUCCAACCAGUGGAAGAGAGAAAUAUAUUGAUUCCGUCUCCUAUACUGAUACUCAAAAAAGAGUGCCAGUGCCCAAGCUACAGCUACCAGUCUGGGUGCAUCAGACUGCUGGUACUACUUCAAGAAGAGAACCACAUGGUACACUAGAUUACAGAGACUGACCAAGAAAUACCCAGAUUCAGACUAUAACACUAAUAGGUCAGCUGAAUUAUGUGAUGCUGUUUUUUCCAUUACUUACGUUUACUUAUGAUUUUGUUGAGGAUAGUCUGCAGUUCUGAGACACUGAUUUCCAUAUCCUAGAAGAACCAAAGAAAUAAUACUGCAUUUCUAUUGUCUCUCACCCCAAAGUGAUUAAACUGAUGUACAAAUUAUGUACAGAACUACCCAUUGCUAAGAUGCAGCCACAUUUAUUAGAUGAAUUGUGGCAGCAGUAACAGUGCAAAGCAACACCACACAUUAGUUUAGGAUGGGAAGUGAAGAAUAUGCUAUCCAACCGAAACUUCUGGAGACAUUUUAGAGGCAGAAUGUAAUUACUCAAAUUUGAAUUUGGUUAAAAUGACUUGGACCAAACCCUCCAUAUUUCUGUGAGAAGUCGGUGACUUGAGAUUCAUAGAUUUAAAGGCCAGGAGGGACCUAGUCUGAUCUUCUGCAUUGCACAAGAUGGAGAGUCCCACCCAAUAAUUUCUGCAUCAAACCCAUAAUUUCUACUUGAGCUAUAGCAAAUCUUUUAGAAAGGUAUCCAGUCUUGAUCUGAAGACUUCAGGUGAUGAAGAAUCCAUUUGUCUACCUUCUGCUUCCAAUCACUGGAUCUCAUUGUGUCUUUUGUGCUAAAUUAAAGAGCUGUCUAUUUUCAAAAAUCUCUUCCCCAUAUAUUUACUUGUGGAACAGGAUAAAGUCACUUUUCAUUCUUCUCUUGAGUAAACUACAUAGACUGAGCUUCUUAAGUCUCUGACACUAAGGUAUGUUUUCCAGACCUUGAAUCGUUUUUGCAGCUCUUUUCUGUACCUUUUUUUCCAAUUGUUCAACAACCUUUCUGAAAUGUGGACACCAGAAUGGUCUCACUAAUGCCAUGUACAGAGGUAAUACCACCUCCUUUCUCCUACUUUAUAUUACCUUGCUUAUACAUCGAAAGACUGUGUUUGCCCUCUUAGCUAAUUACCAUCACACAGGGAGCUCAUGUUCAACUUUAAUUACCAUAAACUGUCAAGGCAAAACCUUCAGCAGCAGUGCUCCCUCCUACUACCACAUGGAGGCAUUAAUUCGGUAAUGAUGCAGUGGGAAAAGUGCCACCUAAAAAGAUAGUCAACACCGUUUCACGUAGAACCUCAUUUUUCUUUGAAAGUAAUCCAUUCAGCUACUGAGGCCUAAUCAUACUUAUCUGCUUACAUCACGUGAAGCAAAAUGUUAGUGUAGCGGCUGGACUAAGGAUGGUAUGGGGAGAAAAGAUUUAGAAUUAGACAAUUCACACCUUAAGUGUCCUAAACCCGAAAGAGGACAAACAAUACAGCCAGCUGAUUUUGCUGAAUAAUUGGAAAGCAUAUUAUCUUGUGUAACCUAUAGAGAUGAUGCUUGUAUAUGUUAGAUUGUAAUGUAAAUAAAGGACUGGUUUUUGAGUCUAAAAUUGGGCUUGAUGAUAAUAAAGCCUAGUAAAAUAUAAGUGAAGCAAAGUGAGACAAUUCAGAGGCAAGUUAGAGAGAAAUUAUGGUCAAGCAGUAAAUAUGUUUUUGUUUUAGCUGAUUUUAGCAGGUGUUGUAAGGAAAUUUUUAGAUGGUUUGGAAUAUUGGUAACUGCCGAAAUUGCACUGAUGCAAAUGAUAAUUAGAAUGAUAUUUGAUAGUUAUAGGCAAUAAGUAAAAGACAUUCGCUUUGAGUGUCCAGAAGAUUAAAUAUGGUAGUGGAAAUAUAGAUAUGGUAAAAAGUAGACUUAAUUAAUGGGUGUUGUUACAAUUGAUUAUAAAAAUAGUAGUAUGCUAAUUUUGUAUUAGUGCACUCAUUCACCAUUAGGAUACCAUUAGAGAGAGGAUUAUAUUUCCCCUUCUUCUCAUCC